AGGACGAACGCUGCGGGCGUGCUUAACACAUGCAAGUCGAACGGAAAGGCCUGCAGCUUGCUGCGGGUACUCGAGUGGCGAACGGGUGAGUAACACGUGGGUGAUCUGCCUUGCACUUCGGGAUAAGCUUGGGAAACUGGGUCUAAUACCGGAUAGGACAGCUGUUUAGUGUCAGUUGUGGAAAGUUUUUUCGGUGCAAGAUGAGCUCGCGGCCUAUCAGCUUGUUGGUGGGGUAAUGGCCUACCAAGGCGUCGACGGGUAGCCGGCCUGAGAGGGUGUACGGCCACAUUGGGACUGAGAUACGGCCCAGACUCCUACGGGAGGCAGCAGUGGGGAAUAUUGCACAAUGGGCGGAAGCCUGAUGCAGCGACGCCGCGUGGGGGAUGAAGGCCUUCGGGUUGUAAACUCCUUUCGACAGGGACGAAGCGUAAGUGACGGUACCUGUAUAAGAAGCACCGGCUAACUACGUGCCAGCAGCCGCGGUAAUACGUAGGGUGCGAGCGUUGUCCGGAAUUACUGGGCGUAAAGAGCUCGUAGGUGGUUUGUCGCGUCGUCUGUGAAAUUCCGGGGCUUAACUCCGGGCGUGCAGGCGAUACGGGCUGACUUGAGUGCUGUAGGGGAGACUGGAAUUCCUGGUGUAGCGGUGAAAUGCGCAGAUAUCAGGAGGAACACCGAUGGCGAAGGCAGGUCUCUGGGCAGUAACUGACGCUGAGGAGCGAAAGCAUGGGUAGCGAACAGGAUUAGAUACCCUGGUAGUCCAUGCCGUAAACGGUGGGCGCUAGGUGUAGGGGGCUUCCACGUCUUCUGUGCCGUAGCUAACGCAUUAAGCGCCCCGCCUGGGGAGUACGGCCGCAAGGCUA
rnacentral:rRNA from 1 species